GCCUGCCCAGUGACAAUGUUCAACGGCCGCGGUACCCUAACCGUGCAAAGGUAGCAUAAUCACUUGUUCUUUAAAUGAGGACUUGUAUCAAUGGCAUCACGAGGGUUGUACUGUCUCCUUUUUCCAAUCAGUGAAACUGAUCUCCCCGUGAAGAAGCUGGGAUUUUAAUAUAAGACGAGAAGACCCCAUGGAGCUUUAAAUUAUGUACUUACUUUAUGUAAAAACACCAAUAAAGCUAAAAAAACUUAAGUACAAUUUUAGGUUGGGGCGACCACGGAGUAUAAUAUAACCUCCACAACAAACAGGCCACACCUUUAUCUACGAGCCACACCCUCUAAGAAUUAAACAUAUUAAUGUUUAUGACCCGAAUAUUCGAUCAAUGAACCAAGUUACCCUGGGGAUAACAGCGCAAUCUAUUUCAAGA
rnacentral:rRNA from 1 species